rnacentral:tRNA from 1 species
UCGGAGUUCGGGGCUCGGAGUUCGGAGUUCGGAGUUCGGAGUUCGGAGUUCGGAGUUCGGAGUUCGGAGCUCGGAGCUCGGAACUCCGAACUCCGAAC